CCUACUGGAGGCAGCAGUGAGGAAUAUUGGUCAAUGGCCGCAGGGCUGAACCAGCCAAGUCGCGUGAGGGAUGACGGUCCUAUGGAUUGUAAACCUCUUUUGUCAGGGAGCAAAGGGCGCCACGUGUGGCGUUUUGCGAGUACCUGAAGAAACAGCAUCGGCUAACUCCGUGCCAGCCGCCGCGGUAAUACGGGGGAUGCGAGUGUGAUCCGGAUUUUUUGGGUUUAAAGGGUGCGCAGGCUGAAUGGAAAGUCAGCGGGAAAAUUUCGGGGCUCAACCCCGUCGUGCCGUUGAAACGGGCGUUCAUGAGUGAGCGAGAAGUAUGCGGAAGGCGUGGUGUAGCGGUGAAAGGCAUAGAUAGCACGCAGAACUCCGAUUGCGAAGGCAGCAUAACGGCGCUCAACUGACGCUCAUGCACGAAAGCGUGGGUAUCGAACAGGAUUAGAUACCCGGGUAGUC
rnacentral:rRNA from 1 species